rnacentral:misc_RNA from 1 species
GAAAUGCGAUAAGUAGUGUGAAUUGCAGAAUUCAGUGAAUCAUCGAAUCUUUGAACGCACAUUGCGCCCCUUGGUAUUCCAUGGGGCAUGCCUGUUCGAGCGUCAUCUACACCCUCAAGCUCUGCUUGGUGUUGGGCGUCUUUGUCCCGCCUCCGCGCACGGACUCGCCCCAAAUUCAUUGGCAGCGGUCCUUGCCUCCUCUCGCGCAGCACAUUGCGCUUCUCGAGGUGUUGCGGCCCGCGUCCAGAAAGCAAUCGUUACCGUCUUUGACCUCGGAUCAGGUAGGGAUACCCGCUGAACUUAAGC